rnacentral:lncRNA from 1 species
CGCCUGCCCCGCUGGGGUCUGCUGCGCAUGCGGUGUUACCCUGAGACUCAGGGACAUAUCAGGCAUUAACUUGCAGACUCAGAAACCUGAACGGCUGUUAACAGCGUCAUCAGCCGCAUUCCAGGCACAGUGCCGAGAGCCUCACGUGUACUAAUCCACUUAUAAAAACUUACUCCCACCUAAUCGAUGAGGAAACGAAGAUAGAAAGGUUUAUGCAGGAAAGUACACAGCCGCCAAGUAGCAGAACCAGGUUCAAGACAAUGUUAACCGCACGCUGACCUCGUUCUCUAGGCCGAAAUAAUAUCCAGAAUUAACGAGAUAAAAUACCACCCUACAAACAAGGCAAAGGUGGUCCUGGGUGGCCUGUCUUUACUGCAGACUGGGGUCCGUGGGCUCAAAAGUCUCCAACGCCAAACUCAAACUUUCACACACCCAAUACCUAAAAUCAGCCCAAACAAGCAUAUUCCAGGCUCCAGGAACUGCUGCUCUGCCCAGGGGACCGGAUGGAAGUGCGGACUGAGAACAAGCCCUCCACUCGGGGCAGGGUCCAAAUCGGAUACAUAGCACAGCCACCCUGCAGGAGGCCCGCAGCAUGUGAAAACGGGCCGAGUGGGAGCCCUGUCAGAGAAAAGGAAGGGCCUGAUUCACAAGGGAGAGAGAACCAAGAGUCCCCAGAACCAUCAAGUUUCCUUCUAACCUGCGGGCUCCUCAGCCUCAGCCCUACCCACACCUGGUUAGCUGUUGUGGUGGGGGAGGGGGGACACGGGGCCGGUCCUACUGCAAGGUCCAUAGUAGUCUCCCUCUCUCCCCACAGAUGCCAGCAUCACCCCAACUGCAGUCCUGACCAUCAAAAAUACCUCCAGAAACGCCCAGUGUCCCCUGCCCUGGGGGUCAAGGUCACAGAGGCCAGCAACCACUGGGCCCAGCAGGCAUCACGGCCCCUGGACCCAGACUGCCCCUGGCGCUGCAAGAACAGAUGGGGGUCUGAGAUCCACGCCCCUGGACCCAGACUGCCCCUGGCGCUGCAAGAAUGGAUGGGGGUCUGAGAUCCAUGCCCCUGGACCCAGACUGCCCCUGGCGCUGCAAGAAUGGAUGGGGGUCUGAGAUCCACGCCCCUUCUCCCGUCACAGGCCAGGUCGAGGUGGCUGCCCACACAGACACCUCCGGACAGAAACUUCAAAGAUGGACCUCAUCUUGAAGGAUGACACACAGUCCUGAUGAUGGGGAAAAUAGGUCCACUGUUCCAGUGGACCAGACACAAGUUUGUUGUUGCCACCAGGGGGUCACAAACGUUGAGUCAUGGGAGGUGUCUUCAUGCGGGGGCUGAGAUAAGAGCACUUUAUGCAAAGCUGACCACCAGCCUCAUGUCGAGUCCAUUCUAACUAGGUCUGGACUAAAUUCUUUAUAGUGUUUGGUACCCUGAACUCCCUGCCAGGAGCAGACCCUUGCGUGUCUGUCUCUGGGAGGGUACCUGAUCCCUCAGGGGCCAAUGAAGAACAUUCACUUUCUCACCCAUGAAACAGCAAAGCAUCCAAGCAUCUCUGUGCUGUAAAACUUGUGUCGUAAAAUCAAAGGCACUCACACUCAGCCCACAUCUCUAACCAAGAAAUGAAACCACACAACUACCACCAAUCAGAACAGCACCGAUUGCUUGCUUUUCUGGUUUCUCUCUGUUUAAAUAAUCAAGGAUACUUGUACACAAGGAAAAACUGCACUACAGAGCCAAACAAAAAAAAAUUUCUUUCUAAUUAAAGAUCUUUAAAUUCUUCCAUAUACUUUCUUUAAUAGUUGUAAUUAUAGCCCUACUUAAUGUUAUGCACUUCCACUAAAUGAGAGGUUAAUUAUACAGACUCUGGUAAUUACGAAAAGUAAAAUAACAUAUGAAAUGUCAUAAUGAAUAAUUAAUAAGACCUCUUUGAUCUGGUUCAGACCAGAGUAGCAGAGCUAACAGGCUCCCUCUGUCUCUUUGGUGUAGGGACAAUCUGACUGAAUAAACCAAGUAUCUGAUACUAGAAGCAGGAGUUCAUAAUAAGCAUUUACCUUGCCUAAAACUAAAGGUGAAAACUUUUAAUUAGUUCCACACUUAAACAGAUACCACAGAUGUGAGGCCGGGUGGCUAAUAUGCCUUGAGGCCCAAAGUGGAGACAGUGCAUCAUGGCUGAUGUUCUAGGGUCUCCUCUCCACCCUGCUAGACUGCGUUACAGGGCAGUACACCUUGAGGCCCAAAGUGGAGACAGUGCAUCAUGGCUGAUGUUCUGGGGUCUCCUCUCCACCCUGCUAGACUGUGUCACAGGGCUGUCACAUCGCAUGGAAGCCUUCAGGAAACAGACAAUGUGUGAACACAGAAGCAGCAGCAAGAAGGGGCCUGCCCUCAAAGAACAUUAAGACUUCUUAGGCAUAAGUAACUCACGUAAUUCAAAUCAAUAAUUUACAUUAUUUCAUACGUUAACU